rnacentral:rRNA from 1 species
AAGCAAGUUACACAAGGGCUAUUGGUGGAUGCCUUGGGAGAAGUAGACGAUGAAGGACGUAGCAGGCUGCGAUAAGCCUCGGGUAGGUGCCAAGCAACCUUUGAUCCGGGGAUGUCCGAAUGGGGUAACCCGGCUGGUGAUGAACCAGUCACUUUCUUACUGAAUAUAUAAGUUUGAAAGAGAUAACCGCGUGAACUGAAACAUCUUAGUAACGCGAGGAAAAGAGAAAAACAUUUUAUUCCCUUAGUAGUGGCGAGCGAAAAGGGAUGAGUCUAAACUUUCGUUGUGUUAAAGCCUACUGGCGUUGCAACGAGAGGGUUAUAAGAAAUUGCAUCUUGAACAGUAGAUCAAGUCAGAAGUCAGAAAUUAUUUUCUUAGCCGAAAGUCUCUGGAAAGAGCUACCAUAGCGAGUGAUAGUCUCGUAGGCGAAAAGAAAAUAACUUCGAGCAGUUCUCUUGAGUACGGCGGGACCCGUGAAAUCCUGUCGGAAAUUGCCAGGACCAUCUGGUAAGACUAAAUACUACUUCUCACCGAUAGUGAACUAGUACCGUGAGGGAAAGGUGAAAAGUCCCCCGAGAGGGGAGUGAAAUAGUACCUGAAACCAAUAGCCCGUAUAAAAGUCGGAGCCUGCGCAAGCGGGUGACGGCGUGCCUUUUGUAGAAUGAGCCGACGAGUUAAUCUCAACAGCGAGGCUAAAACUUUAAGGAGUUGGAGCCGGAGCGAAAGCGAGUGUGAAUAGCGCGAUUUAGUUGUUGGGAUUAGACCCGAAACCGGGUGAUCUAACCAUGGCCAGGCUGAAGCUGCCCUAAGAAGCAGUGGAGGGCCGCACCCACUUACGUUGAAAAGUGAGGGGAUGAGCUGUGGUUAGCGGAGAAAUU